CCGAGGAUGAACGCUGGCGGCGUGCCUAAUACAUGCAGUCGAGCGAAUGGAUUAAGAGCUUGCUCUUAUGAAGUUAGCGCCCGGACGGGUGAGUAACACGUGGGUAACCUGCCCAUAAGACUGGGAUAACUCCGGGAAACCGGCUAAUACCGGAAAACAUUUUGAACCGCAUGGUUGGAAAUUGAAAGGCGGCUUCGGCCCGUCACUUAUGGAGGACCCGCGUCGCAUUAGCUAGUUGGUGAGGUAAGGCUCACCAAGGCAACGAUGCGAGCCGACCUGAAGGGUGAUGGGCCACACUGGGACUGAGGACACGGCCCAGACUCCUUACGGGAGGCAGCAGUAGGGAAUUUUCCGCAAUGGACGAAAGUCUGACGGAGCUCGCCGCGUGAGUGAUGAAGGCCUUCGGGUUCGUAAAACUCUGUUGUUAGGGAAGAACAAGUGCUAAGUUGAAUAAGCUGGCAACCUUGACGGUACCUAACCAGAAAGGCCACGGCUAACUCGUGCCAGCAGCCGCGGUAAUACGUAGGUGGCAAGCGUUAUCCGGAAUUAUUGGGCGUAAAGCGCGCAGGUGGUUUCUUAAGUCUGUUGUGAAAGCCCACGGCUAACCGUGGAGGGUCAUUGGGAACUGGGAGACUUGAGUGCAGAAGAGGGAAGUGGAAUUCCAUGNNNNGCGGUACGCUUNGCGCUCGGAUUACCCNCGAUCGGGUACGCUACCCAUGCUCCAGCUGGUNNNUUAGUCGGCAGCUAG
rnacentral:rRNA from 1 species